GACGUAGGAGACGAGCGUUGUCCGGAUUUACUGGGCGUAAAGGGCGCGCAGGCGGUCGCGCGCGUCGGGCGUGAAAGCCCCCGGCUCAACCGGGGCGGGUCGUCCGAGACGGCGUGACUGGAGGGCGGCAGAGGCUGGUGGAAUUCCCGGUGUAGUGGUGAAAUGCGUAGAGAUCGGGAGGAACACCCGUGGCGAAGGCGGCCAGCUGGGCCGGCCCUGACGCUGAGGCGCGAAGGCGCGGGGAGCGAACGGG
rnacentral:rRNA from 1 species